GGCCCAAUCCUUGCCAAGAUGUGAACGGAAUCUGAGAACCACGAUUAGCAGGGAUCUUGAUAAGCUUCAUAAAUACCUGAUAUGUCUCUGCCUUCUUAUUUAGCAGUUCACCUUCUGAAAGUUUCUUUAAUUUAAGCACAUCUUCUUCAGAAUCAGAAUCAGAAGAGAUGGCGUGUGCCUCUUCCCAUGGAGCUGGUCUCUUCAUUUUGAAGUAAUCCUCGACGACGAUGAUCCGAGGAGUUAGGGUUUUGCCCUAACCCCAGUUCCG
rnacentral:misc_RNA from 1 species